CCUACGGGUGGCAGCAGUGGGGGAUAUUGGACAAUGGGGGGAACCCUGAUCCAGCGACGCCGCGUGAGUGAAGAAGUAUUUCGGUAUGUAAAGCUCUGUUAGCAGGGAAGAAAGAAAUGACGGUACCUGAUCAAGAAGCCCCGGCUAACGAUGUGCCAGCAGCCGCGGUAAUACGUAGGGGGCAAGCGUUAUCCGGAAUUACUGGGUGUAAAGGGAGCGUAGACGGUUAAUUAAGUCUGGAGUGAAAGGCCGGGGCCCAACCCCGGGACUGCUCUGGAAACUAGUGGACUUGUGUGCAGGAGAGGUAAGCGGAAUUCCUAGUGUAGCGGUGAAAUGCGUAGAUAUUAGGAGGAACACCAGUGGCGAAGGCAGCUUACUGAACUGUAACUGACGUUGAGGCUCGAAAGCGUGGGGAGCAAACAGGAUUAGAUACCCGAGUAGUC
rnacentral:rRNA from 1 species